CUAGCUACAGGCUUAACACAUGCAAGUCGACGGGCAGCAUGGUCUUAGCUUGCUAAGGCCGAUGGCGACCGGCGCACGGGUGAGUAACACGUAUCCAACCUGCCGUCUACUCUUGGACAGCCUUCUGAAAGGAAGAUUAAUACAAGAUGGCAUCAUGAGUCCGCAUGUUCACAUGAUUAAAGGUAUUCCGGUAGACGAUGGGGAUGCGUUCCAUUAGAUAGUAGGCGGGGUAACGGCCCACCUAGUCUUCGAUGGAUAGGGGUUCUGAGAGGAAGGUCCCCCACAUUGGAACUGAGACACGGUCCAAACUCCUACGGGAGGCAGCAGUGAGGAAUAUUGGUCAAUGGGCGAGAGCCUGAACCAGCCAAGUAGCGUGAAGGAUGACUGCCUUAUGGGUUGUAAACUUCUUUUAUAAAGGAAUAAAGUCGGGUAUGGAUACCCGUUUGCAUGUACUUUAUGAAUAAGGAUCGGCUAACUCCGUGCCAACAGCCGCGGUAAUACGGAGGAUUCGAGCGUUAUCCGGAUUUAUUGGGUUUAAAGGGAGCGUAGAUGGAUGUUUAAGUCAGUUGUGAAAGUUUGCGGCUCAACCGUAAAAUUGCAGUUGAUACUGGAUAUCUUGAGUGCAGUUGAGGCAGGCGGAAUUCGUGGUGUAGCGGUGAAAUGCUUAGAUAUCACGAAGAACUCCGAUUGCGAAGGCAGCCUGCUAAGCUGCAACUGACAUUGAGGCUCGAAAGUGUGGGUAUCAAACAGGAUUUAGAUACCCUGGUAGUCCACACGGUAAACGAUGAAUACUCGCUGUUUGCGAUAUACGGCAAGCGGCCAAGCGAAAGCGUUAAGUAUUCCACCUGGGGAGUACGCCGGCAACGGUGAAACUCAAAGGAAUUGACGGGGGCCCGCACAAGCGGAGGAACAUGUGGUUUAAUUCGAUGAUACGCGAGGAACCUUACCCGGGCUUAAAUUGCAGAUGAAUUACGGUGAAAGCCGUAAGCCGCAAGGCAUCUGUGAAGGUGCCGCAUGGUUGUCGUCAGCUCGUGCCGUGAGGUGUCGGCUUAAGUGCCAUAACGAGCGCAACCCUUGUUGUCAGUUACUAACAGGUUCUGCUGAGGACUCUGACAAGACUGCCAUCGUAAGAUGUGAGGAAGGUGGGGAUGACGUCAAAUCAGCACGGCCCUUACGUCCGGGGCUACACACGUGUUACAAUGGGGGGUACAGAGGGCCGCUACCACGCGAGUGGAUGCCAAUCCCAAAAACCUCUCUCAGUUCGGACUGGAGUCUGCAACCCGACUCCACGAAGCUGGAUUCGCUAGUAAUCGCGCAUCAGCCACGGCGCGGUGAAUACGUUCCCGGGCCUUGUACACACCGCCCGUCAAGCCAUGGGAGCCGGGGGUACCUGAAGUGCGUAACCGCGAGGAGCGCCCUAGGGUAAAACUGGUGAAAG
rnacentral:rRNA from 1 species